UGGGGACCUGUCGUUAUUUUGUACAUCUUCAGCUCUUUGGAAAUGGGGACGCUCCAUGGACUGCCCUAUAGAAUCAUUUUAUGUGGUAUCUACGUGGGGUGAUUAAAGGUGCUGGUGAAAGACAGUUCAAGGAAUCCACCUGAUUCAGACUGGGAUGUCUUCUCAGAGAUGGAAUGCUUAAUCUUCCCCUCAGAACCCUGAGAGGGAGGCCUGAGGAGACUGGACUCCAUAGCCCUAUGGGGCCUUCAGUCAAGACUGGUACCAAACAACUUUUGAACCAAAGUUGGGAACCUUAGGCUAAUUCACUGCACAAGUGGUUCCCAUCUCUAUAAUCUUUGGACCCUGCCCCAAGUGCAGAUCUCUCCUACUUAUACUUUCAUCCCUGGUCCCCUCAUUUCUUUGAUGCCUCACACAGAAACUCCUCUUUAGAGAAUUUCCCUCAACCCACUCAUUCAAAUUACACUGAGGUUAUCCCCAAACACAGCUUUAUUUGCAGACCUAGAGGGUUUUUCCCUCCUAUAUCAGAAAGUGGGGUAACAGAGAUACUCCUGGUUCCCUCGCGUCAUUUUUCAGGCCCUUAUUUUUCCAAGAUAUUUGCAUGCUACCUCUCCUGCUUUGGAGUUCAUCCCAUCAAGCUAAACUCUCCUUCAUAUUCUCUGCUAUUCUUGGUCACUCCUACACCAGGACUGGCAGCUGGCUUCAUCUUCUCCCCCCAAGGCUUGCACAAUUCUGGAUUCAUUUAAACACCUUUAUUUACUGACCCAACACU